AACAUAUACUCCUACAUCAGCAAACAAGAGACGCUUACAUACAGAUACACACACCCAAGUACACAUCUACGAAUAUAACCCCCCCAAUGUGUCUUCUUCCUCAGUCCCUCGACCAACAGUACACUAGCCGUUAGGCUACUGCAAAUUCGUCCUUGCUCUCUUGAUUUUCGACACGUCAAGCUCUGAGAAGGCUUCCUUUGAAUAUCUGCCAUCCACCUCAUCUCCUUUCAUCCGAAUUUGUUGAGGAUUUGAGGGAAAUUGGAAUGAUUCGAGCAUAUUCCUUAUCCUAUUUGGGAUUUGAAAUUCGAAUUUCAUUCUUAUCCGAAAAUCCCACCCCCCCUUUUUUCAGCGAAUUGAAACAGCAAUCCCUUUCCUAUAAGACCCGCCUUCUCCAACCAUUCCAGGGGUUCGAGAGUUGGAUUUUUAGGUCACUGAAUAUAGAGAAUAUCGGGAGUUUCUAGACAAACAAAAAGAAAUCGAAAACUUUGGUGAAAGGAAAACACACUCUCUAAACUACGAAGUUCAUAGUUUCUUGGAUUUCAUCUCGAAAUUUUCAUCCGAAGGCUUCUCCGGCGAAGUUCCGUCGUGUCGGAGAGCUCAUUGUGACCAGCUCGUCAAGUUCCAGACUCGGUGCUCUGAAAAAGGUAGUACACAAAACGUUCCGGCAAGGAGAGAAGUUAGGACUCAAGAGUGUUCAUUAAGUCUUCCGGUACCAACUAAAGCUUCUGUUUUCAGGGACCGGUGCUCCUCCUCAUUAUCCUCAACGUGGCUAGUUGAGUUUUCGUUUGAAGGCUACUUUUGGGACCAGUGCUUCUCUUCGUUCUCCUCCAUGUGGCUACUUGAGAUUUCUUUUGAAGGUUACUUUUGAGGAUGAUGUUCGAAGGGUGUCCAAGGGAUCAUCCGAGUUCGUCAAGCAAAGAACAAGUAAUGGUAUCUCUGAAUGCUCAACAAAUCAUGGGUUGUAGUGGACAUAUUGAGUUCGAAAGCGGUAUCCAUUAUCUUAUUUUAUUUUUGCUUUCUAUACUUUCUUAUUUACUCAUCAAUCUUAAAAAGGGAUUAUUUAUGUCUAUCCAUGUAGGGAUACUCAUUUAUUAGAUGAACGAUUGUUUAAUAGUUUUGACUUAAGCCACUAGUUAAAGCGGUACUGUAUCUACUAAUUAUUUAUUUUGAGUAUGCAGACCUACAUAUAGUGUGCCGAUAUGAAAACUUUUGAAGUAAGAAUGACUUCAAAACAUCGAGACAAUAACCUAUCCACACAAAAUGCGAGAAGAUGCCAAAAAAGUAUCGUAAGGGAUGCUAGCGCUUUCUUUCAGAUAUGCUCCAACUAAUUAGUUUUAUUUUAGUCUUUGUCGAGAAUAUCCAAGAGGAUGCAUUCUCAAUCGAACCACAAGUGCAGACGACAUCAAAAAGGAUGCAGCACGACAUGGAAAUAUUUAUUAGCAGCGAUCUAAGGCAUAGUCCGAAGAGGAAUAUCAAACUCAUAAGAUGUGAGCUAAGGAACGAAUUUCACCACAAUCAAACCAUACCCCUAUCAAAAGGCAUGUGGUUAUUUCUUUGGUUUUAUCAAUUUCUUUUUCGCAUCCGACAAAUUUUAACUGUCAUUGGAAGCAACUUUUCAAUCCGAGUGAUAAUGCACUAAGAUCUGUGGAAAUAUGUCCGUGAAAAUACUUAAUUAUGAGUGUGAAGUGCACCACAUUCAUGGCUAAAAGGUUACAAACCUUUUUUUCAUAUU